GACGAACGCUGGCGGCGUGCUUAACACAUGCAAGUCGAACGGUGAAGCGCCUUCCUUUUUGGUGGGUGUGGAUGAGUGGCGAACGGGUGAGUAACACGUGAGUAACCUGCCCCCUUUUUCUGGAUAACCGCAUGAAAGUGUGGCUAAUACGGGAUAUUCUGGGUCUGUCGCAUGAUGGGUCUGGGAAAGAUAUUGUUUCGGUGGGGGAUGGGCUCGCGGCCUAUCAGCUUGUUGGUGGGGUGAUGGCCUACCAAGGCGGUGACGGGUAGCCGGCCUGAGAGGGUGGACGGUCACACUGGGACUGAGACACGGCCCAGACUCCUACGGGAGGCAGCAGUGGGGAAUAUUGCACAAUGGGCGCAAGCCUGAUGCAGCGACGCCGCGUGAGGGAUGGAGGCCUUCGGGUUGUGAACCUCUUUCGCCAGUGAAGCAGGCCUGCCUCGUUUGUGGGUGGGUUGACGGUAGCUGGAUAAGAAGCGCCGGCUAACUACGUG
rnacentral:rRNA from 1 species